CAAGAACAUUAGCAUGGCCCUUGAGCAAGGAUGAGACACAAAUUCGUGAAGCGUUCCAUAUUUUU
rnacentral:snRNA from 1 species